UACGUAGGGGGCAAGCGUUGUCCGGAUUUAUUGGGCGUAAAGAGCGUGUAGGCGGCCAUACAGGUCAGCUGUGAAAACUCGAGGCUCAACCUCGAGACGUCGGUUGAAACCGUAUGGCUAGAGUCCGGAAGAGGAGAGUGGAAUUCCCGGUGUAGCGGUGAAAUGCGUAGAUAUCGUAAGGAAGACCAGUGGCGAAGGCGGGUCUCUGGACAGCUCCUGACGCUGAGGCACGAAGGCCAGGGGAGCAAACGGG
rnacentral:rRNA from 1 species